GUAAUGGUAUUUGUUUAAAUUUAAAUCAUCGAUCGUUUACAAUGUCAACUGGAACUGUCUAGUUCCUUAUGUGAAGAUUUAUGAAAAUUCUCUUCUGAUAAACGUGGACGAUGCAGUCUCCCCUGCGAGGAGCGUCGCGCUGCUACUUGAUGGUCGCGGGGGCGGCCCGGUCCACCGACACGUUCCUCAGGGUCGCUAGCACCAGGAGCCCCACGAGGGCAGAGCCCCCGCACACGUACACCAGCACGUCGUGGUAGUAGUUGGGGCACAGCUCCUGGCUCGCGCACUCCCUGCAACACAGGGCCGUGUCUCCAGGCCGCCAUAGUCCUGGACAAGUAACCAACCUAAAAUCCGACCUUUCAUCAAGCCGAUAGUAGCUGCAAGCAGGGACCGAUAGUGGACGAAAGUGCCGUAGAGGGCUUCCCAACAGUCUUCUGCUAAAUCACGUUGUGCUUUGUUUUUAAAACCUCACUUCAGUUUAUAGAAGCAAAUUGCUUAUCAGUUCAUAUUUUUCUGAAUAGUUCUGUUCUAGACGUGCUUAUUACUAGUGAUUUUACUGUAUUGGUACAUUAGGUGUCAAUCAGACUGAGACUAAUUUGGUUAAAUAAGUAUUAAAAUAUAUAUUUUAGUUUUGUACUUGUUGAAUAAUAAUCACAAUGUUAAGCACAAGGCUUAGAUGUAGAGAUAGGAGCUUGUAUCUUCUCAAACUUAGGAAGUUGCAACCCCCAUCUUGUAGACUUUUGUGACCUUACUCACCUUAUACAUAUUCGUACUUUGCUCUUUGUCUAGGAUGCAUGUGCAUUUAAAUUUAUGUCUAUCACUUAAGACUUAUCAGCACUUCAGUUAAUACUAUGCAAACACAUCACAUCCACGUCUUUGCCAGUUAAUCCAGUUAAUUAGUAUACUAUUCUAUGAGUUAAACCUGCGACUUAACGUUUGUUAACACAUUGCACUAACAAUUUUUUAAGUCGAGUAUGCAUUUUGUGGUUUUAAUCUUUAAAGCCACUUAAAAAAAUUUUUACUAUAAAAAACUGAACUAGAGGGUUAUUUGUAGGUAUGAAACCUGAAGGGACAGAAAUUUACCCACUUUGUAACAAUGAGGUUUGUAAUAACCAUACUUCCCCAUGUUGCACAUACAUAAUUUGUACAGUAUGUCAAAACAAAAAAAAAGUACAUUCUUAUACUAUGUACUAUAAACCUGUUUAAGAGCAUUCUCUUAAGUAAAAACAUGGUUGGCUUACAUAAAAGUUGACACAAAAUUAUUUACAAUUUUGAAUGGGUUGUUGUUACACCUUAUUACUUAUCUAGUAGAUCACUGAGAAGAUUUAAGUAACGAAAAAAAAAACUAUUUUUGUUUUGCUUUUCAUUUUUUUAAAAACUCUUUGGACAAAGCCACACAAUUGGUCAAAGGCCUUGAUUGUUUCAGGCUAGUAUUGCAGAAAAGUGUAAAUUGAGAGAAAACUCUUAAAUUCAUCUGAUACAUAUGUAGCUCAUUUCCUGUAUGUAUUCUUUCUUCAACAUAUACUUUCACUUUACUUUAAAGAAAAAGUUUAAUGUUUAAUAGUUUACUAAUAUACCAUUAAUACUCAAGCAAUGCCCAAAAUACAGUACAUAAAAACAUAAAAAGUUUAUGUUUAUUUUUGAUUGAAUUAAUUCAUCUUACUUCUUGUAUUACUUUGUUGAAUAAGCACAUACAAAAAUUGGCUGUGUUUAAAACAUUUUUUUUUAGAAUGAGAAUUUACAUUCAAAAUACUCUACUUUUACAUUUUAAUCUCAAUUUUAGAUGACCCUUUAUAACUAGUAAAUAAAUAUUACGAACUAAAAAUAUUUUGCAUCAACUUGAAAUAAAAUGACAACUAAAACCAUGACCCAGAUGUAACACAGAACUAAUGUAGUGUACCGAUAAAUAUUCAUAGUACACUCUAACCAUGAAAUAGAGUGAGCUAUCAAGUAUAGUUAACUCGGCAGAGUCCGCACGCUGAAUGCAAGACAUUCAAUAUUGAUACUUGACUAUGUGCACGCACUAUGUACAGGCACCAACCUAUACAAACAUGCUGCCAACCAGCUCUGGUUACAUUUUCAUACGCGCUACACUGUGACGACGGAACAGAUAACUGAAAACAUUUGAAAAGAGAUCAAAACAUUUGAUCAUAUUGUAUGAAAAUGUCUGAAAUGUGUUUUUUUUGUAAAUAAAAACCAGUUUUAACGUAGUAUACGAGACGUGAAUAGCGGGAAGAAUGUACCUAAUUUCCGCUAUGUAACACGAGGGAAAUUAUUAAAUUGCAUUUAAUGACAUGUAAAUGGGCCCUAAAGAAAAUGUUGUUAGUUAUGGGAAACGUAAAUACCAAAAACACAAAUACAGGGUUUCACUUUAAUGGUUGUAUUAUCAGAUAUUAAAUAUAUGCGAACUAGUUUUGGGCAACAAUGGAAUUUCGAAUUACAUAAUAUCCUUCAUUACAUAAUAUACGAACAAAUUAACACUGAACAUCCUAUUCCUGUUGCUCCGGAUUUAAACAGGUUUGUAAUACCUAUGUUAAUUUCACAAUAAUAUAUGCUAAUUUUGAAGGAAAAAAAAUAUAUGAACUCUUCCAGCCCCUAGGAUUAUAUCAUACAUUAAGAGAUUAUUGAAGCCCUUUACAUACAUAGCGUGUAUUAAUAGAAUCAUUACGGUUGUGGUCAUUUACAAAAAUUAAUUACAUACUAAAUGCUAAUGACUUCUUAGGGUAAACUAUUUGCAGCCAACAGUCUCUAUUAACUUCAAACAUUCCGUUAAAUGCUUUAAUUAAGCCAAAUGUUGUAAAUGACUAAGUAGAAAAUUGUAAUGGCCAAGCACAUUGCAACCGAAAUGUCAUCUCUCCCUAGUGACAGGUAACAGGAGCUCCGGACAGUGUUCGCAGUGUGAGUCGCGGUGGGAUGUUGGUCGGGAACCUGAGAUCCUCGCCACACGAGCGUGAUUCGUUAGCGAUGGUGACGACUGGCGCGCGCCGGUGCCCUGGUACUCACAGCGCCUCGAUGAUCAUGAUGAUGAUGCCGUUGAAGAGCUUGUCGGAGAAGGUGACGAUGCUGUAGACGAAGGCCCCCUGCUCGGUUUAAAGACCACUGAUGCUUUGCUGCGACUUGCUGUUACCACCAUCAGUGUGACAAACACCAAUGGCUUGAAGUGGGGUGGUUCCUGCAGCACCAGCCUCAUUUCAUUGGCCCACUCGAGAGGUCGUCAGCUUUAACUUCCCAUCACCAGAGAGGGCUACCUCGUAGCUGCGGUUUGCAGAGUUCGACCUCGAACCCUGGAAGCUCUGAAGGAGGCAAUUGAGAACAUAAUAUUCCACAAGAUAUGCUGGCAAACGUGGGUGAAAACUUUGCUGAACUGCUCAAUAUGUGCACCAUUGGAACUAUAUAUCUUUAAAAGUUAAGCAAAAAAAAAAAUGUAAUAAUAUGUACUUUUCAAAAAUAAAAACCUUUUAUCUUGAA